CAAAUACUGCUGAUAGUAAAAAAAUUAUCAAAGUUAAACAUAAAUAAAUAAACAUAAAUUAAUAAUAAAUAAAUAUUACUUAUUACGUAUUUAAAAUGUACAUGUAAUCAUCAGUAUCGACAGAUUUGAGGAUUUGACAGCGAGCUGCAGGUGUGGAGAGGAAGAACCAAAGGCAAGGAUCAUAUAUGAGCGCUCACUGACAAUCAGAUGCUCUCACCAAAGAGAAACGCGACGAAUAUUAUGAUGGGGAUCACACAGGCUAAAUCAAUCAGAUAACCGAACACCAGAUUGCCGAUCAAACCACCUAGACGACCCAUCAUCUGUGAUAGAGCUGCGGCCAUUACCCUAAAUGGUGUAGAGCAAAACGUUCUUGAGAAAUUCAAAUUGUAAUUCGCUCACCUGAGAUUCGUCGGAAACAUGUCGACGAUCACGCAGUAGGCUAGAGAGAUUCCGAUGGACGU